rnacentral:rRNA from 1 species
CAGGGGGUGCAAACGUUGCUCGGAAUUAUUGGGCGUAAAGCGCGCGUAGGCGGCUACUUAAGUCGGAUGUGAAAGCUUCUGGCUCAACUGGGGAAGUGCACCUGAAACUGAGUGGCUUGAGUGCGAAAGAGGGUCGCGGAAUUCCCGGUGUAGAGGUGAAAUUCGUAGAUAUCGGGAGGAACAUUGGUGGCGAAGGCGGCGAUCUGGGUCGACACUGAUGCUGAGGCGCGAAAGCGUGGGGAGCAAACAGGAUUAGAUACCUUGGUAGUCCACGCCGUAAACGAUGGGUGCUAGAUGUUUCUGGUAUUGACCUCGGAGGCGUCGUAGCUAACGCGUUAAGCACCUCGUCUGGGAAGUACGGUUGCAAGGCUA